rnacentral:rRNA from 1 species
AUUGAACGCUGGCGGCAUGCUUUACACAUGCAAGUCGAGCGGUAACAGCACUUCGGUGGCUGACGAGUGGCGAACGGGUGAGUAAUACAUCGGAACGUGCCUAGUAGUGGGGGAUAUCUACUCGAAAGAGUAGCUAAUACCGCAUGAGAUCUAAGGAUGAAAGCAGGGGACCUUCGGGCCUUGCGCUACUAGAGCGGCUGAUGGCAGAUUAGGUAGUUGGUGGGAUAAAAGCUUACCAAGCCGACGAUCUGUAGCUGGUCUGAGAGGACGACCAGCCACACUGGGACUGAGACACGGCCCAGACUCCUACGGGAGGCAGCAGUGGGGAAUUUUGGACAAUGGGCGCAAGCCUGAUCCAGCAAUGCCGCGUGCAGGAUGAAGGCCUUCGGGUUGUAAACUGCUUUUGUACGGAACGAAAAGCCCUCUUCUAAUACAGGAGGGUCAUGACGGUACCGUAAGAAUAAGCACCGGCUAACUACGUG